rnacentral:rRNA from 1 species
UACCAGCACCCCGAGUGGUCGGGACGUUUAUUGGGCCUAAAGCAUCCGUCACCGGUUCUACAAGUCUUCCGUUAAAUCCAACUGCUUAACAGGUGGGCUGCGGAAGAUACUAUAGAGCUAGGAGGCGGGAGAGGCAAGCGGUACUCGAUGGGUAGGGGUAAAAUCCGUUGAUCCAUUGAAGACCACCAGUGGCGAAGGCGGCUUGCCAGAACGCGCUCGACGGUGAGGGAUGAAAGCUGGGGGAGCAAACCGG